rnacentral:rRNA from 1 species
AACGAACGCUGGCGGCAGGCUUAACACAUGCAAGUUGAACGCUCCGCAAGGAGAGUGGCAGACGGGUGAGUAACACGUGGGAACGUACCCUUUACUACGGAACAACUCCGGGAAACUGGAGCUAAUACCGUAUACGCCCUACGGGGGAAAGAUUUAUCGGGGAAGGAUUGGCCCGCGUUGGAUUAGCUAGUUGGUGGGGUAAAGGCCUACCAAGGCGACGAUCCAUAGCUGGUCUGAGAGGAUGAUCAGCCACAUUGGGACUGAGACACGGCCCAAACUCCUACGGGAGGCAGCAGUGGGGAAUAUUGGACAAUGGGCGCAAGCCUGAUCCAGCCAUGCCGCGUGAGUGAUGAAGGCCUUAGGGUUGUAAAGCUCUUUCACCGAUGAAGAUAAUGACGGUAGUCGGAGAAGAAGCCCCGGCUAACUUCGUGCCAGCAGCCGCAGUAAGAC